rnacentral:rRNA from 1 species
AUUGAACGCUGGCGGCAGGCUUAACACAUGCAAGUCGAGCGGGGUGAUGGUGCUUGCACUAUCACUUAGCGGCGGACGGGUGAGUAAUGCUUAGGAAUCUGCCUAUUAGUGGGGGACAACAUUCCGAAAGGGAUGCUAAUACCGCAUACGCCCUACGGGGGAAGCAGGGGAUCUUCGGACCUUGCGCUAAUAGAUGAGCCUAAGUCGGAUUAGCUAGUUGGUGGGGUAAAGGCCUACCAAGGCGACGAUCUGUAGCGGGUCUGAGAGGAUGAUCCGCCACACUGGGACUGAGACGCGGCCCAGACUCCUACGGGAGGCAGCAGUGGGGAAUAUUGGACAAUGGGCGGAAGCCUGAUCCAGCCAUGCCGCGUGUGUGAAGAAGGCCUUUUGGUUGUAAAGCACUUUAAGCGAGGAGGAGGCUACCUGGAUUAAUACUCUAGGAUAGUGGACGUUACUCGCAGAAUAAGCACCGGCUAACUCUGUGCCAGCAGCCGCCGUAACAC